AUUCCAGCUCCAAUAGCGUAUACUAAAGUUGUUGCAGUUAAAAAGCUCGUAGUUGAAUUUCUGGUCGUGGCGACCGGUCCGCCCCUCACGGGGUGUGCACCUGGUCUCUGCGUCCAUCCUCGGGGAGAGCGCGUCUGGCAUUCAGUUGUCGGGCGCGGGAUCCUCGUCAUUUACUGUGAGCAAAAUAGAGUGUUCAAAGCAGGCUUAGGCCGUUGAAUACAUUAGCAUGGAAUAAUAAGAUAGGACCUUGGUCUAUUUUGUUGGUUUGCAUUCCAAGGUAAUGAUUAAUAGGGAUAGUUGGGGGUAUUUAUAUUCCGAUGUCAGAGGUGAAAUUCUUAGAUUUUCGGAAGAUAAACUUAUGCGAAAGCAUUUACCAAGGAUGUUUUCAUCG
rnacentral:rRNA from 1 species